CCUACGGGUGGCAGCAGUGGGGAAUAUUGGGCAAUGGGCGCAAGCCUGACCCAGCAACGCCGCGUGAAGGAAGAAGGCUUUCGGGUUGUAAACUUCUUUUAUUGAGGACGAAACAAAUGACGGUACUCAAUGACUAAGCCACGGCUAACUACGUGCCAGCAGCCGCGGUAAUACGUAGGUGGCAAGCGUUAUCCGGAUUUACUGGGUGUAAAGGGCGUGUAGGCGGGACUGCAAGUCAGAUGUGAAACCCAUGGGCUCAACCCAUGGCCUGCAUUUGAAACUGUAGUUCUUGAGUGAUGGAGAGGCAGGCGGAAUUCCGGGUGUAGCGGUGAAAUGCGUAGAUAUACGGAGGAACACCAGUGGCGAAGGCGGCCUGCUGGACAGUAACUGACGCUGAGGCGCGAAAGCGUGGGGAGCAAACAGGAUUAGAUACCCUUGUAGUC
rnacentral:rRNA from 1 species